AUCCAGCUGACAAGUCCCAAACAGGACGAAACAUACUCCUGGAU
rnacentral:hammerhead_ribozyme from 1 species